CCUCUCUGCCAGGUUCGGAGCUGUGACCGUCUCCGCGCAGCCCCCUCCAGAUGGGCCUAAAUUAACUACUAGCCAGUGAGCGGGUCUGAUGGCCCCAUUAGCAACACUGCCGCGCUCACACAAACAGCUCAGGAGGAGGGUCUUUCCGGAGCCGCGCCAGGGGUCUUGGAAGGCGAGGCUUGCGGAGACCCUGCCCGGCAGGUCCCUGAGACUGCGCAGCACAACGGCUGACGGCGCGGGACAGAAGGCCGCCGUCCUCCCGUUAAGCUCCGCGGCGGCCCGCUGCCCGCGUGGUGACAAACCCCUUCUCCUGGCUGGCCCCGCUGCUCCUGAAUCCGGAGGCCAGUCCCUGGUUAACUAAACGCACCUCUCCCAACACAGAAGCUCGGGGCAGACACUGUCCUUGACCGUUACUGCUAUGGUAGAGACGCACUUUGUGCGCAACGAAUGACAAUCUAGGAGGCAAAGUGGGCGCCUGGUCCAGAGCUCAGUGGCCCCGGAUGCAUCGAUCCAAGGAGGGAGUGUGUGCUCAGUCCCACUGCUACAGGAGUCUAAGAGAGCAGUAUAGAAUGGUUCUUCUUCGCCUGGCUUGUUCUGACCCAUCCUUCCAGACCCACGUCUUCCAGGAAGUGCUCGCUCACUCAGUCACAGGGCUUGCAAGUGCUCAUCCGGAUUCCAGCAGCAGACUGACGUCCUUCAUGUCUCCAGGCGAGAUGGCUGUGGGUAUGGAGGCUCCACGCACCUGGUCUUGUCUUCAGCAAAAUACUGUUGCAUUUCUGUGAAUUUAGGGCCAUGCCAUGCCAUGCGCCUAACAGCCUCAAUAAAUCCUGAUAGAUU